AGUGGAUGGGGAGCAACCUAGUUGUGCGUGUGUAAAGGUAGUGCCAAGAAAAGCGAUGAUCAUGUUGAAAAUCAAUUCCCGGUACCCGAAACCGACACAGGUGGGCAAGUAGAGAAUACUAAGGGGCGCGAGGUAACUCUCUCCAAGGAACUCGGCAAAAUGACCCCGUAACUUAGGGAGAAGGGGUGCCACCGAGAGGUGGUCGCAGUGAAGAGGCCCAGGCGACUGUUUAGCAAAAACGUAGGUCUCUGCAAACUCGAAAGAGGAGGUAUAGGGGCUGACGCCUGCCCAGUGCCGGAAGGUUAAAGAAGUUGGUCAGUCUUAGGAUGAGGCUAGCGACUGAAGCCCCGGUGAACGGCGGCCGUAACUAUAACGGUCCUAAGGUAGCGAAAUUCCUUGUCGGGUAAGUUCCGACCCGCACGAAAGGCGUAACGAUCUGGGCGCUGUCUCGGAGAGAGGCUCGGCGAAAUAGGAUUGUCUGUGAAGAUACGGACUACCUGCAUUUGGACAGAAAGACCCUAUGAAGCUUUACUAUAGCUUGGAAUUGUGUUCGGGCUUCCUGUGCGCAGGAUAGGUGGGAGGCGUAGAAGGUAUUCUUGUGGGGAUACUGGAGCCAACGAUGAGAUACCACUCUCAGGAGGCUAGAAUUCUAACUUAAUUAAGGACAGUUUCAGGUGGGUAGUUUGACUGGGGCGGUCGCCUCCAAAAAGGUAACGGAGGCGUACAAAGGUUCCCUCAGACUGGUUGGAAAUCAGUCGAAGAGUGCAAAGGCAGAAGGGAGCUUGACUGCGAGAAGUACAGUUCGAGCAGGGUGGAAACACGGUCUUAGUGAUCCGACGGUGCUGUGUGGAAGGGCCGUCGUUCAACGGAUAAAAGUUACUCUAGGAUAACAGGCUGAUCUCCCCCAAGAGUUCACAUCGACGGGGAGGUUUGGCACCUCGAUGUCGGCUCAUCGCAACCUGGGGCGGAAGUACGUCCCAAGGGUUGGGCUGUUCGCCCAUUAAAGCGGUACGUGAGCUGGGUUCAGAACGUCGUGAGACAGUUCGGUCCAUAUCCGAUGUAGGCGUGAGAAUAUUGAGAGGAGCCUUCCUUAGUACGAGAGGACCGGGAAGGACGCACCGCUGGUGUGCCUGUUAUGAUGCCAAUUGUAAACGCAGGGUAGCCAAGUGCGGAGAGGAUAACCGCUGAAAGCAUCUAAGUGGGAAGCCCACCUCAAGAUGAGUAUUCUGGUGUAAGGUCACGGGAAGACGACCCGUAAAUAGGCACGAGGUGGAAGUGCAGAGAUGUAUGAAGCCGAAGUGUACUAAUAGACCGUCGGCUUGACC
rnacentral:rRNA from 1 species